rnacentral:rRNA from 1 species
GGGGUUAUUUAAAAAGCGUGGAGACGGGCUGGAACCCCUCGGGGUUACAGCCUUGCUGAAGUAUUCCCCCUUGUCUUUUGCGUACUUCUUGAUUCCUUGGGGGGUUCGCCCACCACUGGCCCAAACAUAAACCUUUUGAAAUUGGGUCUCCGCGUCAGCAAGAGACUAGACGCUACACAUUUCGCCAACGUAGCUCUUACAAUCUGACGCUCGAACAGGAAUGCAGCGAAAUAAUAUAAGUAGGGCGAUGUGCAGAAUUCGAUGCAACGACGCACUGUUGACCGCACAUCGCGCUAUUUGUCAUUCCAAAGUGCGUGCCUGUUCGAGCGCCAUUUGUACACACAAGCUGUGCUUGGUGGUGGGCGUCAUGUCUCUAGCUUUGCUGGAGGCUCGCCCUAAAGUAUUUGGUAGCCGCCCUACUGGUUCGGAGCCCAAAAAAAGCCGCACUCUCUAUCAGCAAAGGUCUAGAAUCCUUUACGCCUUUUUUCCCCUUUUGGACCCCGGACCGGGUGGUAUACGCGCAGAACUCAUCCUAGGUUCACCCGCAGA